UUUAAAUCAGUUCAUGCUUAAGAUAUAUUGGAUAUAUUCCCCAUAAAUUUCUUUACAAAAAAUAUUCCUACACAAGUGUACAUACUUUCAACCACGCUCUAAAUGCCCGCGAUUUCAAGGGUGUGUACCAGUUAUUUAUAAACUGAGGAUUACUUAAAUAUUGUUCUCACGUUAAUUUUAAUGAUUUGUAUAAAGCAAAAUUGACAAUAUCCUAUUUUGAAUGUACCAAAAUGAAGAUCAUAUUAGUUUAAUGAUAAGUGCUGUUGACUUUUAUAAGUGCUCUUAAAUCCCCAAUGAUGACAAAAUUUUCAAAGCUGUGUUGUCUUUAAAUGAGGUCAGUUUUCAGAUAUGUUUAAGGUUUUGUUAAUGUUUUAAAGGCUUUGGUCAUUCAACGUACAUGUAUGUUUUAAUAGUAGCUAACCAAGAUUUUAC
rnacentral:lncRNA from 1 species